rnacentral:rRNA from 1 species
CGGAACGGGUGAGUAAUGCGUGACCAACCUGCCCCAUGCUCCAGAAUAGCUCUUGGAAACGGGUGGUAAUGCUGGAUGCUCCAACUUGACGCAUGUCUUGUUGGGAAAGUGUUUAGUGGCAUGGGAUGGGGUCGCGUCCUAUCAGCUUGUAGGCGGGGUAAUGGCCCACCUAGGCUUCGACGGGUAGCCGGCCUGAGAGGGCGGACGGCCACAUUGGGACUGAGAUACGGCCCAGACUCCUACGGGAGGCAGCCAGAU